rnacentral:rRNA from 1 species
UACAGAGGGUGCAAGCGUUAAUCGGAAUUACUGGGCGUAAAGCGUGCGUAGACGGUUAUUUAAGUCAGGUGUGAAAGCCCCGGGCUCAACCUGGGAAUUGCAUUUGAGACUGAAUAGCUAGGGUGCGGAAGAGGGAAGCGGAAUUUCCGGUGUAGCGGUGAAAUGCGUAGAUAUUCGGAGGAACACCAGUGGCGAAGGCGGCUCACUGGUCCAUUACUGACGCUGAGGUGCGAAAGCGUGGGAGCAAACAGGG